rnacentral:rRNA from 1 species
UACGGAGGGUGCGAGCGUUGUUCGGAAUCACUGGGCGUAAAGCGCGUGUAGGCGGCCCACUAAGUCUGAUGUGAAAGCCCCGGGGCUCACCCCCCGGAAGUGCAUUGGAAACUGGUGGACUCGAGUCCCGGAGAGGAGAGUGGAAUUCCGUGGUGUAGCGGUGAAAUGCGUAGAUAUCAGGAGGAACACCGGUGGCGAAGGCGGCUCUCGUGGACGGUGACUGACGGCUGAGACGCGAAAGCGUGGGGAGCAACAGG